rnacentral:tRNA from 1 species
UAGAAAAUGGUGUAGGGGAAGCACUGAGAGUUUUGAGCUCUCCAGGUUGGGUUCGACUCCCUAGUUUCUAA